CUCAGCUGAACAGAGGCCGGUGGUCUGGACCCCGAGGGGACCGGCUGGCCUCAGAACAUGUGAGGUUGGAGGUCCUGCAUUGAUGAGGUCACAGCCAGAGCGGAUCCUGGGGCUGCCAGAACACCGUGUGGGGCCUGAGGUUGAAGCCCGCACAGAGGAGGGCAGAGAUCAAUGAAUGGCUGGUGGCCCAGGAGCUCCCUCGAUGGUAAUGAGGACACCACCACAACCCAGGAGUGGGGGACGGACUCCAGGUCCCUGACGACCGGGCCGUGCAAUGUCCUUCCUGUGAGUUCAUUUCUGCUUCAGGGAGCCCGCGCCCACUCCUCGUGCGUCCCACCAGGGAG
rnacentral:lncRNA from 1 species